rnacentral:rRNA from 1 species
CCUACGGGUGGCAGCAGUGGGGAAUAUUGGGCAAUGGGCGCAAGCCUGACCCAGCAACGCCGCGUGAAGGAAGAAGGCUUUCGGGUUGUAAACUUCUUUUCUCAGGGACGAACCAAUGACGGUUCCCUCAGCAUUAACCCCGGCGAACCUCGUGCCAGCCCACCCGGUAAUACGGAGGGGGCAAGCGUUAUCCGGCUUUAUUGGGUGUAAAGGGCGUGUAGGCGGGAAUGCAAGUCAGAGGUGAAAACCAUGGGCUCAAACCAUUGCCUGCAUUUGAAACUGUCUUUCUUGAGUGCGGGAGAGGCAGACGGAAUGCCGGGUGUAGCGGUGAAAUGCGUAGAUAUAAGGAGGAACACCAGUGGCGAAGGCGGACUGCUGGACAGCAACUGACGCUGAGGCGCGAAAGCGUGGGGAGCAAACAGGAUUAGAUACCCGAGUAGUC